ensembl:lncRNA
GAAAAUAUGAUUUUAGUUGAUCAUGCAUAUACCUUCUGUUUUUUUAUUUUAUACACUCAAACUUUUUGAGUGUCAACGGUAUGCCAUUCAGGUAGCUGCUGGUGAUAACAGUAGUUUUAUGAAAAGUAAGUCACUGGACUCAUGGAGGUUAUAUUCUAGAGAAUAAGACAACAACCAAGUUAGAAAGGAAAUAAAGAUUGUUUGAUUUUCUAACAAUAGGAAAAAUAGGGUUAUAUGAUGGAGAAUUAAUGUAUUGGUGAUUGCAGACAACCUCAGAAGGAUAGUCUGGGAGGCUUUUUCCGAGGUGGGACGUGAUGGGUGAGAUCUGUCCAUGCAUAAAGUGAGGAGAAGAGUGACUACGGAGAUGGAACAGCAAAUCGAACAGUUCUAAUAUGGAAAAGAAUACAGCAAACAAUAGAAGUAGAAUGAUGCCAGAGUGGUUGGUGACAGAUGAUGGAGGGGGAAGGCACUACCAAAUGGCAUCAGAGAGUUGGACAGAAUCCUACUUGUGUGUAAGGGCUUGUAAGCCACAUAGGGCGUUGCAAUUUCAUUAAAGAGCCAGAGGAUGCCACUGAAUUGUUUUAAGCUGAGAGAUGACAUAUUUUGACUAUCAUUCCCUGACUGCUAUGUAGAGAAUGGAUUGUAGAAGCAGGGAGAACAAUUAAGAAUCUAUGGUCAGAUGAGAGGUGGCCAUAAGAAACAAUAAUUUGGAGAAAAUUAGACCAGAUGCUACAUUUUUUCUGAUGUGGAAGUCACCAUGCAUUCAGGAAAAUAUUUAUUUAUGGGGUGUUACUGGCAGCAUUCCUUAUAAUAACGAAAAAUAGAAAACAAUAAAUAUUUAACAAUAGAAGACAUUGUAUGGACUACCCAGACUUUGAAAUGUACACCUGUUAUUAACAUUUACAUUGUGGAAUGCUUAAUGUUAACAUAUGAUUGAGUA